GAUGAACGCUGGCGGCGUGCCUAAUACAUGCAAGUCGAGCGAACGGACGAGAAGCUUGCUUCUCUGAUGUUAGCGGCGGACGGGUGAGUAACACGUGGAUAACCUACCUAUAAGACUGGGAUAACUUCGGGAAACCGGAGCUAAUACCGGAUAAUAUUUUGAACCGCAUGGUUCAAAAGUGAAAGGCGGUCUUGCUGUCACUUAUAGAUGGAUCCGCGCUGCAUUAGCUAGUUGGUAAGGUAACGGCUUACCAAGGCAACGAUGCAUAGCCGACCUGAGAGGGUGAUCGGCCACACUGGAACUGAGACACGGUCCAGACUCCUACGGGAGGCAGCAGUAGGGAAUCUUCGGCAAUGGGCGAAAGCCUGACGGAGCAACGCCGCGUGAGUGAUGAAGGUCUUCGGAUCGUAAAACUCUGUUAUUAGGGAAGAACAUAUGUGUAAGUAACUGUGCACAUCUUGACGGUACCUAAUCAGAAAGCCACGGCUAACUACGUG
rnacentral:rRNA from 1 species